rnacentral:rRNA from 1 species
CUCUCUUCGGAGAGAGCGGCAGACGGGUGAGUAACGCGUGGGAACCUACCUUUUGGUACGGAAUAACUCAGGGAAACUUGUGCUAAUACCGUAUGUGCCCUUCGGGGGAAAGAUUCAUCGCCAAAAGAUGGGCCCGCGUUGGAUUAGCUUGUUGGUGAGGUAAUGGCUCACCAAGGCGACGAUCCGUAGCUGGUCUGAGAGGACGAUCAGCCACACUGGGACUGAGACACGGCCCAG